rnacentral:rRNA from 1 species
AGAAUCAACGCUGGCGGCGUGCCUAACACAUGCAAGUCGAACGAGAAAGUGGAGCAAUCCAUGAGUAAAGUGGCGACCGGGUGAGUAACACGUGACUAACCUACCUUCGAGUGGGGAUAACAUCGGGAAACCGAUGCUAAUACCGCAUAACAUCGCAAGAUCAAAGCAGCAAUGCGCUGGAAGAGGGGGUCGCGGCUGAUUAGCUAGUUGGCGGGUAACGCCCACCAAGGCGAAGAUCGGUA